GAUGAACGCUGACAGAAUGCUUAACACAUGCAAGUCUACUUGAUCCUUCGGGUGAUGGUGGCGGACGGGUGAGUAACGCGUAAAGAACUUGCCCUGCAGUCUGGGACAACAUUUGGAAACGAAUGCUAAUACCGGAUAUUAUGCGAGAUUCGCAUGUUUCUCGUAUGAAAGCUAUAUGCGCUGCAGGAGAGCUUUGCGUCCUAUUAGCUAGUUGGUGAGGUAACGGCUCACCAAGGCGAUGAUAGGUAGCCGGCCUGAGAGGGUGAACGGCCACAAGGGGACUGAGACACGGCCCUUACUCCUACGGGAGGCAGCAGUGGGGAAUAUUGGACAAUGGACCAAAAGUCUGAUCCAGCAAUUCUGUGUGCACGAUGAAGUUUUUCGGAAUGUAAAGUGCUUUCAGUUGGGACGAAGUAAGUGACGGUACCAACAGAAGAAGCGACGGCUAAAUACGUGCCAGCAGCCGCGGUAAUACGUAUGUCGCAAGCGUUAUCCGGAUUUAUUGGGCGUAAAGCGCGUCUAGGCGGUUUGGUAAGUCUGAUGUGAAAAUGCGGGGCUCAACUCCGUAUUGCGUUGGAAACUGUCAAACUAGAGUACUGGAGAGGUGGGCGGAACUACAAGUGUAGAGGUGAAAUUCGUAGAUAUUUGUAGGAAUGCCGAUGGGGAAGCCAGCCCACUGGACAGAUACUGACGCUAAAGCGCGAAAGCGUGGGUAGCAAACAGGAUUAGAUACCCUGGUAGUCCACGCCGUAAACGAUGAUUACUAGGUGUUGGGGGUCGAACCUCAGCGCCCAAGCUAACGCGAUAAGUAAUCCGCCUGGGGAGUACGUACGCAAGUAUGAAACUCAAAGGAAUUGACGGGGACCCGCACAAGCGGUGGAGCAUGUGGUUUAAUUCGACGCAACGCGAGGAACCUUACCAGCGUUUGACAUCCUAGGAAGUCGGCAGAGAUGCCUUCGUGCCCCUUCGGGGGAACCUAGUGACAGGUGGUGCAUGGCUGUCGUCAGCUCGCGUCGUGAGAUGUUGGGUUAAGUCCCGCAACGAGCGCAACCCCUUUCGUAUGUUGCCAUCAUUAAGUUGGGAACUCAUGCGAUACUGCCUGCGAUGAGCAGGAGGAAGGUGGGGAUGACGUCAAGUCAUCAUGCCCCUUAUACGCUGGGCUACACACGUGCUACAAUGGGUAGUACAGAGAGUCGCUAACCUGCGAGGGGGAGCUAAUCUCAGAAAACUAUUCUCAGUUCGGAUUGUACUCUGCAACUCGAGUACAUGAAGUUGGAAUCGCUAGUAAUCGCAAAUCAGCUAUGUUGCGGUGAAUACGUUCUCGGGUCU
rnacentral:rRNA from 1 species